rnacentral:tRNA from 1 species
GCCCAGGUGGCGGAAUUGGUAGACGCACUAGGUUCAGGUCCUAGCGGUGGCAACACCGUGGAAGUUCGAGUCUUCUCC